rnacentral:lncRNA from 1 species
UUUGGUACAUCUGGACUGAAACAAAACUCAAAAAAAUUGUACCUUCGCUGUGUGAUUUCCCUGUCAAAUACCGAGCAUACUAUCAGUAGGCUGUGUAGCAGGCCAACAGGCAGCAAGCCAGCAACUCAGCCUGGGUUGGCCAGAUCGACGGCGCGGCUCAGCUUGAGGUAGAAAUCUUCAAGUCGCCCUCGGCUCCGGAAAUCGCCCUGGGAUGGCUAGAUCCACGGCGCGGCUCGCCGACGGCCGGAUCCGGCUGCUCACCGCGACACCUGGUCUCACCACUGCUCACUGGACCCGGCCGAAACAGAUAACCAUGGCAGGGACCGAGGAGUGGAUGGGAUGGGAGGAGGCAGGGACGCGCCAAGGUGGGGAGUUGUGGCGGCUGGGACGGCGUGGCGGAGAGGGUUGGCGGCGGCGAUGAUGUGGCAAUUAAUAUAUAUUAACGCCCAUUGUUACAAUUAAUAUAUUAACGCCCAUUGCUUCAAAGGGAUAUAUAUGAAAAGACAACAGAAUAGAAAACCAUAGAAACAUGGUGGAAAUGACUAAACAGAGUUACUAUAUGCACAUCUUUGUAGAGAAGGUAAGAACAAAAGAAAUUUCUUCCUCUCCUCCAAGUGUGACAACUCUGAAUCUUUCAGUUGUAGAAGAAGUCAGAAUGAAGAUUAGACUAAUCUGCCUUCUCGUUUUGAAGAUCACAACAACAUUUACUACAUCACAACGCACAAGAACCUAACGGCUACGUCAAAUGGAGUUUGGAAAUCAACAAUCAUGAGUUGUGAGAUAACAAAAUAAUCACAUCUGACUUGGUCACUCAAAAGAACUUAUGCAGGUGAGAACCCUUACUGUGCUACUGCUAACGCCAUAAUUUAUUUGAUUCAAGUGGAGAGCUUUUUUAUUCCUCCAAAGCCCAAGAUAUAUAGCAUUUUUCAGAGAAAGGUAACAGCCUCAACAGAUUCUAGAUAAGAAAAGGUCACGAAAGUGCAUGAAGCUGGAUUUGAGAGUGAGACUGAGAAAAAAAGACUACGGGGUAAUCAAAGUACAAUAGGUGAUUCAAAUAGAAUGUUUAGGAUACAUAUGUAAUAUGUUUACAGUUGAGUUUCAGUUCAUAGAAAUAUAAAGUUUGGUACAUCUGGACUGAAAUAAAACUCAAAAAAAUUGUACCUUCGCUGUGUGAUUUCCCUGUCAAAUACCGAGCAUACUAUCAGUAGGCUGUGUAGCAGGCCAACAGGCAGCAAGCCAGCAACUCAGCCUGGGUUGGCCAGAUCGACGGCGCGGCUCAGCUUGAGGUAGAAAUCUUCAAGUCGCCCUCGGCUCCGGAAAUCGCCCUGGGAUGGCUAGAUCCACGGCGCGGCUCGCCGACGGCCGGAUCCGGCUGCUCACCGCGACACCUGGUCUCACCACUGCUCACUGGACCCGGCCGAAACAGAUAACCGUGGCAGGGACCGAGGAGUGGAGGGGAUGGGAGGAGGCAGGGACGCGCCAAGGUGGGGAGUUGUGGCGGCUGGGACGGCGUGGCGGAGAGGGUUGGUGGCGGUGACGAUGUGGCGGAGAGAACGAGCGAGAGGGGUGAGAGAGUGUGGUCUUGCAGAGGGGUGCCAUGGGGUGAGAGAGUG